rnacentral:rRNA from 1 species
ACGCUCGACACCUACGGGGGGCAGCAGUAGGGAAUCUUCCACAAUGGACGCAAGUCUGAUGGAGCAACGCCGCGUGAGUGAAGAAGGUUUUCGGAUCGUAAAGCUCUGUUGUUGGUGAAGAAGGAUAGAGGUAGUAACUGGCCUUUAUUUGACGGUAAUCAACCAGAAAGUCACGGCUAACUACGUGCCGGCAGCCGCGGUAAUCUGAGCGGGCUGGCAAGGC